rnacentral:rRNA from 1 species
ACCUCAAAUCAGGUAGGACUACCCGCUGAACUUAAGCAUAUCAAUAAGCGGAGGAAAAGAAACUAACAAGGAUUCCCCUAGUAACUGCGAGUGAAGCGGGAAAAGCUCAAAUUUAAAAUCUGGCGGUCUUUGGCUGUCCGAGUUGUAAUCUAGAGAAGCAUUAUCCGCGCUGGACCGU